rnacentral:rRNA from 1 species
UACGAAGGGGGCUAGCGUUGCUCGGAAUUACUGGGCGUAAAGCGCACGUAGGCGGCUUUCUAAGUCGGGGGUGAAAUCCUGGAGCUCAACUCCAGAACUGCCUUCGAUACUGGAAAGCUCGAGUCCGGGAGAGGUGAGUGGAACUGCGAGUGUAGAGGUGAAAUUCGUAGAUAUCAGGAGGAACACCGGUGGCGAAAGCGGCUCACUGGCCCGAUAUUGACGCUCAUGUACGAAAGCGUGGGGAGCAAACAGG